GAAAUAGAACCUGAAACCGGAUGCCUACAAACAGUCGGAGCCCGCAAGGGUGACGGCGUACCUUUUGUAUAAUGGGUCAACGACUUAGUGUAACUAGCAAGCUUAAGCCGGUAGGUGUAGGCGCAGCGAAAGCGAGUCUGAAUAGGGCGAUUGAGUUAGUUGCAUUAGACCCGAAACCGAGUGAUCUAGCCAUGAGCAGGCUGAAGGUUGGGUAACACCAACUGGAGGGCCGAACCCAUAACUGUUGCAAUAGUUCGGGAUGACUUGUGGCUAGGGGUGAAAGGCCAAUCAAACUCGGAAAUAGCUGGUUCUCCGCGAAAUCUAUUUAGGUAGAGCGUCGACCGAAUACCCUCGGGGGUAGAGCACUGGAUGGGCUAUGGGGACUCACCGUCUUACUGAUCCUAACCAAACUCCGAAUACCGAGGAGUACUAGUCGGCAGACACACGGCGGGUGCUAACGUCCGUCGUGAAAAGGGCAACAACCCUGACCUCCAGCUAAGGUCCCCAAGUCAUGGCUAAGUGGGAAAGGAUGUGAGGAUCCCAAAACAACCAGGAUGUUGGCUUAGAAGCAGCCAUCAUUUAAAGAAAGCGUAACAGCUCACUGGUCUAAAUAAGGGUCUUUGCGCCGAAAAUGUAACGGGGCUAAAGCCAUGCACCGAAGCUGAGGAUUUGCACUUUGUGCAAGUGGUAGCGGAGCGUUCCGUAAGUCUGUGAAGGCGGACCCGUGAGGGCUGCUGGAGAUAUCGGAAGUGCGAAUGUUGACAUGAGUAACGAUAAAGGGAGUGAGAGACUCCCUCGCCGAAAGACCAAGGGUUCCUGCUUAAAGUUAAUCUGAGCAGGGUUAGCCGGCCCCUAAGACGAGGCGGACACGCGUAGUCGAUGGGAACCACGUUAAUAUUCGUGGGCCUGGUGGUAGUGACGGAUCUCGUGUGUUGUUCAACCUUAUUGGAUUGGUUGGGCGGCGAAGAGGUUCCAGGAAAUAGCUCCACCGUAUAGACCGUACCCGAAACCGACACAGGUGGUCAGGUAGAGUAUACCAAGGCGCUUGAGAGAACUAUGUUGAAGGAACUCGGCAAAUUGCACGCGUAACUUCGGAAGAAGCGUGACCCUUUUGUACGCAAGUAUGAUGGGGUGGCACAGACCAGGGGGUAGCGACUGUUUAUCAAAAACACAGGGCUCUGCGAAGUAGCAAUACGACGUAUAGGGUCUGACGCCUGCCCGGUGCUGGAAGGUUAAAGGGAGGGGUGCAAGCUCUGAACUGAAGCCCCAGUAAACGGCGGCCGUAACUAUAACGGUCCUAAGGUAGCGAAAUUCCUUGUCGGGUAAGUUCCGACCUGCACGAAUGGCGUAACGACUUCCCCGCUGUCUCCAACAUAGACUCAGUGAAAUUGAAUUCCCCGUGAAGAUGCGGGGUUCCUGCGGUCAGACGGAAAGACCCCGUGCACCUUUACUAUAGCUUUACACUGGCAUUCGCCAAGGCAUGUGUAGGAUAGGUGGUAGGCUUUGAAGCAGGGACGCCAGUUUCUGUGGAGCCAUCCUUGAAAUACCACCCUUAUCUUCGUGGAUGUCUAACCGCGGUCCGUUAUCCGGAUCCGGGACAGUGUAUGGUGGGUAGUUUGACUGGGGCGGUCGCCUCCGAAAGAGUAACGGAGGCGCGCGAUGGUUAGCUCAGACCGGUCGGAAAUCGGUCGUCGAGUGCAAUGGCAUAAGCUAGCCUGACUGCGAGACUGACAAGUCGAGCAGAGACGAAAGUCGGUCAUAGUGAUCCGGUGGUCCCGUGUGGAAGGGCCAUCGCUCAACGGAUAAAAGGUACGCCGGGGAUAACAGGCUGAUGACCCCCAAGAGUCCAUAUCGACGGGGUUGUUUGGCACCUCGAUGUCGACUCAUCGCAUCCUGGGGCUGGAGCAGGUCCCAAGGGUAUGGCUGUUCGCCAUUUAAAGCGGUACGUGAGUUGGGUUCAGAACGUCGUGAGACAGUUCGGUCCCUAUCUGCCGUGGGUGUAGGAAUAUUGACAGGAUCUGUCCCUAGUACGAGAGGACCGGGAUGGACGUAUCUCUGGUGGAUCUGUUGUCCUGCCAAGGGCAUAGCAGAGUAGCUAUAUACGGAAUGGAUAACCGCUGAAGGCAUCUAAGCGGGAAACCAACCUGAAAACGAGUGUUCCCUAUCAGAGCCGUGGAAGACGACCACGUCGAUAGGACGGGUGUGGAAGCACAGCAAUGUGUGAAGCUUACCGUUACUAAUAGCUCGAUCGACUUCUUCGUUCCCAUU
rnacentral:rRNA from 1 species